ensembl:lncRNA
UUUUCCAUCACUACGUUUAUUAACUUAGAUAAUUUCAUAUCAUCUUUUCCCACUUCAGAAAUACUGGUUGUCUGACAUGCCACAUAAAUACACCUCUUGGAUGAAAGAUUGUUUCUCAAUUUCUAAACUGCCAAAAAAAGUGUAAAUCAACUAAACAUUUUGAACAUGUCCACUGACUCGGACCCUCUCAUUUAACUUGUUGACAAAAGAUUCCUCCUUCUUCAAACAUUACCAGGUUAUUUCCUUAGCUUAUCACAUUGUAUAAAACAGUGCUCAGCAUUGUUGAAAAGAAGCUUGUAAAUGCUUGGAUGACGCUAGCUUAGAUAGCUUCUUUGAUCUUGAGAUGAGUUUGUGACUCAACUUUAUUAGCAUUUCUAAUAAUCAGUAAAGUAAUUGGUGAUCCAAGAAUAUCACAGCCACUGAGAGGAAUUUGGCUCCUCUAUCAGACUGUCUCUAUGCAAAUAGCUCUUAAAAGAAACAUUUUUAGUAAUUUCCAAACUGUCAAGUGUGGGGUCGUAUUGGGAGGACAGUGGACAUGUAAUGAGCCAACCAUAUGAGGGCCUCUUCUAAGCAUGCAGCCGCAUACCAAGAAGAAGAUAACAGGAUGUGAAACAGCCAUCAGAGAGCUUCUUCUAAACACGUAGCUGCAUACCAAGAAGAAGAUAUGAGGAAGAAAACAUCUGCAGUCGGAUACAUGGGAAGAACACCAGGAAUUAGGUGAUCCAACAAGGACACUUACCGAGGCACAUGAUUGCCUCGUGCAAGAGGGCUUUUACCAAUCAAAAGGCGCGUGACUGCAUGUAGAGAUAGAAAACUCUGUAUAUAAAGGGAUCGUGGGAACAAUAAAGUGGCUUCUGCUUGAUUCACAUUGAAUCGUGUAGGGUCCAUUGUCCUCUCUCCUCAGUUGGUGACCCUGACGUGAUCAUCAUACGAUAGUACCGGGAGCAACCCCGAAGGAGAGGACCGGCUGGAGAGCCGAGCCAGCGGGACUGGAGUCGGGAUGGAUCGGAGGAUGAUCCGUGAAGAAAAGGAAUGUAUGUUGCAACGGGACACCCUUGGAGGUGAGCAGCCGGUAAUAAGAGAUGAGGCAGAGUGUAACGAAGGGAAAAAGUGUGAUUGUGAAACUGCUCCUACAUAUACUCUCUAAGACAGGAAUUAAACACGAUGAGCUUUUGCUCCGAAAGUUAUUAAUAUGGUGCCAAGAGAACGGGUUCCCCCCAGAUCCACAGGCCGCUUUUAAGGUCGAAACUUGGGAAAAGGUUGGGGAACGGUUAUGGGAUGCCGUAAGCGACGGCAACAAAGAAGCUAAGGGACUAGCAACUACUUGGAAGCUGAUUCUAACAACCCUUCAAGCGAUGAGGGCAGUGCGAUCAGCCACUGCCGGAGCUUUCAUAGCUUUACAGCCCCAUCGCCUAAGACCAAAGUUUUCGAUCGGCUCCCUGUCCCUUCCCCCGCUGCCCCGUCGGCACCUCCGACAGAGGACGAUCUGGAUCCCCGGAAAGACGAGGGGAUGGAAGUGGAUGAAUCCUGGUCCAUACCACUGCCUCCCGACCCUUGCGUAGAAAAGCCACCCAGGGGAGAGCCACCGCCCGUCCCACCCGACCCAUCUCACUCCAAGAGCCAGCCAUCGCUUUUUCCACCGCUCCCUCCAUCCACGCCUCCCCCACCAACGUCUCUGCAAAAAUCAUCCACGCUCGAGCCCCACAGGGAACCGGACUGGGCACAGAAACUACUUCGAAAGUUGGAGGACUUGGAAAGAGAUAAGAUUGCUCGAGAAGAACACAGUGGGGAGGAGGAGGGCGUGAUAGCAAGCUGCGGGAAGCUCCAGGGGGUGGGGGGAGGUGAGAGGUGAAGCUGCAGGAAGCUCCAGGGGGUGGGGGGAGGCGAGAGAUGAAACUGCUAAAACUGACGGGGACCCAAC